UCAUGCUUUAAUUUCAUUUUGUCUUCAUGUGUUAUUGAUCAGUUUUCCACCGCCAAAACAAAAGACAUGAUCACUUUGGGAUUGUAUAUUUAUUAAAUCCCUUGCAGGUGCCACAUUUUAAAGGAAACAGAAUCACGUCGAUAUUUCGGUGUUCGUAACCCUCCAGGUGGUCUCAGGAUUGAUUGUAUGAGAACAAUCCUCGAUGCUGACCGUUUCCUCUGUACAAUUUACUGCAUCCACCAAUUGAAUUUGAUCGAACAUCUCUUGCAUUUAUGAUGCUUCUGCAUUUGUGUGUUUGCCGCAAGUAUCUCCUCCACUUUGUGUUUCUGCAGCUUGGUGAUCCUAGGUGGAGUAAUAUCUUGGCUUUGGCGCUGCAUAAGGAUCCUUCUGGAGCGGUUUCUUCACUUUGUGAACCCCGGGAAUUUCACAGAACCGUACUUGGUGUGUGAACUGGCAGCCCCCAGGCGUUCACCUGACAUACUCAUUUUUGCCACCCAUAUGCAGGACGCACCGCGAUACAGGCAUCAAAAACAAGUGUGGUGAACCCCCUUGAGCUCGAACCUUGCUUCCGCCACCUAUACGCAGGACGCACCGCAGUAUAGGCAUCGAAAGCAAGUGCAGCAUGG